AACUUUUGGCAACGGAUCUCUUUGCUCUCGCAUCGAUGAAGAACGCAGCGAAAUGCGGUAAGUAAUGUGAAUUGCAGAAUUCAGUGAAUCAUCGAAUCUUUGAACGCACCUUGCACCCUUUGGUAUUCCAAAGGGUAUGCUCGUUUGAGUGUCAUUGUACUCUCACACUCUCCGAUCCUCUGGAUUUGGGGAGCGGUGGACUUGGGUGCUUGCUGCUUUCCUUGCGGCUCACCUCAAAUGCGUCAGUGCAUCUCUUGAUUGGACAUAGUACGGCGUGAUAAGUGUCUUCGCCGGCACCUCAUAAGAGGGUGGCUGAUCGGGAGCUCUGUGCUUUCAAACCGUCUUCGGACACUCUCUGACAACUUGACCUCAAAUCGAGUAGGACUACCCGCUGAACUUAAGCAUAUCAAUAAGCGGAGGCU
rnacentral:misc_RNA from 1 species